rnacentral:rRNA from 1 species
UACGAAGGGGGCUAGCGUUGCUCGGAAUCACUGGGCGUAAAGCGCACGUAGGCGGAUUGCUAAGUCAGGGGUGAAAUCCUGGAGCUCAACUCCAGAACUGCCUUUGAUACUGGCGAUCUCGAGUCCGGGAGAGGUGAGUGGAACUGCGAGUGUAGAGGCGAAAUUCGUAGAUAUUCGCAAGAACACCAGUGGCGAAGGCGGCUCACUGGCCCGGUACUGACGCUGAGGUGCGAAAGCGUGGGGAGCAAACAGG